ACGCUCGACACCUACGGGAGGCAGCAGUGGGAAUAUUGCACAAUGGGGGAAACCCUGAUGCAGCGACGCCGCGUGGAGGAAGAAGGUCUUCGGAUUGUAAACUCCUGUUGUUGGGGAAAAAGAGGAUGGUACCCAACAAGGAAGUGACGGCUAACUACGUGCCAGAAGCCGCGGUAAUCUGAGCGGGNUGGCAAGGC
rnacentral:rRNA from 1 species